UACAGGGGGGGCAAGCGUUGUUCGGAAUUACUGGGCGUAAAGGGCUCGUAGGUGGCCGACUAAGUCAGACGUGAAAUCCCUCAGCUUAACUGGGGAACUGCGUCUGAUACUGGAUGGCUUGAGUUUGGGAGAGGGAUGCGGAAUUCCAGGUGUAGCGGUGAAAUGCGUAGAUAUCAGGAAGAACACCCGUGGCGAAGGCGGCUCUCUGGGACGGUACUGACGCUGAGACGCGAAAGCGUGGGGAGCGAGCAGG
rnacentral:rRNA from 1 species